UUUGUAUCUCGUGUGUGGUAGUAGUUAGGAUUUAAAGCCUAACUAGCUAUAUGCACGUAGUCGUAACUGAAAGGUUGAUCGACCACAGUGGGCCUGAAUAAAGCCCAUGACGAUUGUCACAGCAGUGAGGAAUAUUGGUCAAUAGCCUAACUAUGAUGCAAGAUCGACUAUGUCGAAUAAAAUUCUAGGUAGAAUUAUGAUAAUGACAUUGUCUGCCUAUGUGUCUUGACCAAAUUACGUGCCAGCAGUCGCGGUAAUACGUAGAAGACUAGUGUUAUUCAUGUUUAAUCGGUUUAAAGGGUACCUAGACUGAAGGGACUAAUUUACUAGAGUUACUUAUGAGGGGGUAUUAAAGUACUGCUGGUGUAUGUGAUAACUGACGUUGAGGGACGAAGGCUUUGUGUAGCGAACAGGAUUAGAUACCCCAGUAGUCAAAGCAGAAAAUGAUGAAUGUCAUAGAUUAGAUAUAUAAGUUUAUUCUAUAAAUGAAAGUGUAAGCAUUCCACCUCAAGAGUAAUUUGGCAACAUUGGAACUGAAAUCAUUAGACCGUUUCUGAAACCAGUAGUGAAGUAUGUUGUUUAAUUUAUUUUCUACUUAAAAGAAAACAAUAACAAGAAAAAAGAGGCAAUAAGAUAUAUUUACAAGCGUUGCACGGCUGUCUUCAGUUAAUGUCGCGAGACUCUGGUUAGUUCCAUUAAAUUAACGUAAACCCUUACUUUAUUUUUAUAUAGAGUAGUUCCCCGCUAUAUUGGAUAUGAUAACAGGGACUAAG
rnacentral:rRNA from 1 species